GACGAACGCUGGCGGCGUGCUUAACACAUGCAAGUCACGGGGGCCCGACGGGCGAACUCUGGGCGAACCGGCGAACGGGUGCGUAACACGUGAGCAACCUGCCUAUCUGCGGGGGAGUAGCCGGCCCAACGGCCGGGUAAUACCGCAUACGUUCACGAGGGGACAUCCCCUUGUGAGGAAAACUCCGGUACAGAUAGAGGGGCUCGCGGCCUAUCAGCUAGUUGGUGAGGUAACGGCUCACCAAGGCGACGACGGGUAGCUGGUCUGAGAGGAUGGCCAGCCACAUUGGGACUGCGACACGGCCAGACUCCUACUGGAGGCAGCAGUGGGGAAUAUUGCGCAAUGGACGAAAGUCUGACGCAGCGACGCCGCGUGUGGGAUGAAGCUCUUCGGGGUGUAAACACUGUUGCCGGGAAGAAUCUCCUGAUUUAUCAGGAUUGACGGGUACCGGGUGAGGAAGCACCGGCUAACUCUGUGCCAGCCGCCGCCGUAAC
rnacentral:rRNA from 1 species